rnacentral:lncRNA from 13 species
AGAACUUUUUUUAAUCUGUCAUCUGUCUUUGAGGGGACGGAGUCUGCUACCAUCCCUAUUUUCUGACUUGCCAGACACGCCCCUUAAGAAGACGGGGAUUUGAGUGUGGACCUGGGGUACAUUUGACUGUGUGAUGGGCCAUGGCUGCAGUCUUGCCUACUGUACACUGAGACCUGGAUAGGUGGUUUCCAUGUGGUUGAUACCAUUCCAUUGACUCCAUUCCAGACAUUAUUAUGAGCCGUCCUCCCCUCAGCAGCCUCCACUGAGGACCAGGGGGUUAGCCUCCACACUGAGGGCCAGGAGGCUAGCCUCCACACUGAGGCCCAGGGGGCUAGCCUCCACACUGAGGCCCAGGGGGCUAGCCUCCACACUGAGGCCCAGGGGGCUAGCCUCCACACUGAGACCCAGGGGGCUAGGCUCCACACUGAGGACCAGGGGGCUAGCUUCCACACUGAGGCCCAGGGGGCUAGCCUUCACUGAGGACCAGGGGGCUAGCUUCGACACUGAGGACCAGGGGGUUAGCCUCCACACUGAGGACCAGGAGGCUAGCCUCUACACUGUGGACCUGGAGGCUAGCCUCCACAUUGUGGACCUGGAAGCUAGCCUCCACUGAGGACCUGGAAGCUAGACUCCACUGAGGACCUAGAGGCUAGCCUCCACUGAGGAGCCUCCCGUUCUACCACCGAAUAUGAGUAGAAGUCGACUUAGAAUACAGGUAGUGGAACCAUACUCUUAAAGGGACCAUGGUGUCUGCUGUUUCCUACCCUAUACCCAACACUGAAGGAAAAACAUCCUCUUUUUCACUGCUGGUCUCCCCGAUUCAGUUAUAUCACUGCCACAAUACACCAUUGACCAACUAGGCUGACCUCUUUUGUGUUAUUACUGACAUAUGAAUCAGGGGAGCACUCCCCUACUGUAUGUGAGCUUUGCUAAACUCCUCGGAUUGGACAGGGGCUUGUUUUAGCGAGGUCAGCAUCUUUCUGCUGCGCCGCCCGCCCUCCCAGGCUCUACUGUGUUUUAGCAGAGGACAAAGUUCACAAAGCCCAUAGAGAGAACGAAUACAAGAGAGGGGAAGGAGAAAAAAAAUGCAGCUGGUCUACUUUUAAGUCGACUCCUUUUUUUAUUUUCUACUUGAUUUAUAUUAUUAAGGAGAGGAGUUAACAGAUUUUUUUUAAUGCACACAAACAGUUACAUACAUGAAUAGUUCAGUUCAUAUAUUUGCAGCGAAUAUGUGCUAGAAGUUGGUAUUUUUAGUUUUUAGUGUUCUGUUUUUAAUAUAUUUUGGGUUUUGAACCGGUUGUUUGAAAAGGGGGACAUUAUGGAAAACAUUCAAUUCUUCAGAUUUUAAAAAAUAUAUAUAUUUUGUUAGUUAUUAAAGCCAUGUAUGUUAUGCUUUCCCUGAAUCGAGUUCACUUAUGUUUGUCAGUGACAUCAACUGGACGUUAGUCUCAGACAAUAAAGUGUAUAACCUAGAGCAAACUGUAUAGCGAUAUGUGAUAGUUUUCCAUUUAUUUUCUAUACUGUCUUAUCCUGAUGCUUUGCCGUGUGUUAUGAUUCAAAUGAUGUUUUUUGGCGAACUGAACAUUAAUAUACUGUACACUGAACAAAAAUAUAAAACGCAACAUGUAAAGUGGUAACGUGAGCUGAAAUAAAAGAUCACAGAAAUGUUCCAUACGCACAAAAAGCUUACUUCUCUACCAUAAGCCGCCUCCAACACUUUGGCAGUACGUCCAACCGGCCUCACAACCGCAGACCAUGUGAAUGGCGUGGUGUGGGCGAGCGGUUUGCUGAUGUCAACGUUGUGAACCAUGGUGGUGGUGGGGUUAUGGUAAGGGCAGGCAUGAGUUACAGACAAUGAACACAAUUGCAUUUUAUCGAUGGUGAUUUGAAUGCACAGAAAUACCGUAACGAGAUCCUGAGGCUCGUUGUAAGGCCCAUAUUUUAUUUUAAGGUAUCUGUGACCAACAGAUGGAUAUCUGUAUUCUCAGUCAUGUGAAGUCCAUAGAUUAGGGCCUAAUGAAUUUAUUUCAAUUGACUGAUUUCCUCAUAUGAACUGUAACUAAAAUCUUUGAAAUUGUAGCGUUUUAUACUUUUGUUCACUAUAUAAUCAUAAUAUAUGCCAUUUAAGUAGACACUUUUAUCCAAAGCAACUUACAGUAUGUAUUGGUGGUCCAGGCAAUCGAACCCACUAUCCUGCUGCUGCAAAUGCCAUGCUCUACCAACUGAGCUACAUCAGACCACAAUAAACCCAAUAACUUUUUAUAGUUGAUUUCAAUCUUAAAAUUAAUCUUACAUGAGAAGGCUUAAUCUGACUUCAAAUGAGUUGAAAUUUAAGCACAGACCAACACGGUAAAACUAUCAGACAACUAGCGGACCACUCCUACCAUGUAGUGGGCUUGCAGGCUGAUCUUUAUUCAGUCUUUGCACUGUAGCAAUUUGGACUUGUGUGACUGUGAUUAUUUGUUUGUGUCUUUAUGUCUAAAACUCAAGAGAGAAUGUUAUGUCAAGUAGUUGUGAUCGGUGUCUUGAUAAGAACACCGUGUCUUGAUUAGAACACCGUGUCUUGAUUAGAACACCGUGUCUUGAUUAGAACACCGUGUCUUGAUAAGAACACCGUGUCUUGAUUAGAACACCGUGUCUUGAUAAGAACACCGUGUCUUGAUUAGAACACCGUGUCUUGAUAAGAACACCGUGUCUUGAUUAGAACACAGUGUCUUGAUUAGAACACAGUGUCUUGAUUAGAACACUGUGUCUUGAUUAGAACACUGUGUCUUGAUUAGAACACUGUGUCUUGAUUAGAACACCGUGUCUUGAUUAGAACACCGUGUCUUGAUUAGAACACAGUGUCUUGAUUAGAACACAGUGUCUUGAUUAGAACACCGUGUCUUGAUUAUAACACGUGUCUUGAUUAGAACACCGUGUCUUGAUUAGAACACAGUGUCUUGAUUAGAACACAGUGUCUUGAUUAGAACACUGUGUCUUGAUUAGAACACUGUGUCUUGAUUAGAACACCGUGUCUUGAUUAGACCCCAUUGUCUUGAUUAGAACACAGUGUCUUGAUUAGAACACCGUGUCUUCAUUCGAACACAACACAGUGUCUGUCUGUGAACCGUCCCGUAGACACUUUGGCCAUGUUCCAAACUCAAACGUUGUCUCCUUGCCUCUUAGUCAUUUACCAUCACAGAUAAGGAAGGUCUGGAUAGAUGAAACCAAAAAACUUGCAAGGUUUAAUGCAGUGGAACUAUCAGUCCUACCUUUCCUCCCCUUAAGAUUCACCCAGGCCAGUCCUCAAAGGGCAGAGGUAAAGUGUCCAUGUUUAUGGUUUGGAACACUGCCUUAGUUGAGCAUUUCCUGUAUGCAAUAAUAAGGCACCUGUAACUUCUUCCAACAGUCAAGGCCAUCCAGCCAUGACAAAAAAAAGAGUGCUUCCACUGCUGUGAACUCCUUGAUGCACAGAAAAAUGCUUAGUGGCACAGUCUGAUGAUGUCACGAUAAGGCAACCCAGUCCCUAUGUCUUACAUGAUACCAAGCUGCUGUAGUUAGAAGGACUGACACAACAUUACGGCAAUAUUACCCAAACCAAUGUUCUCCUGUUCAUGUUGUUUUUAAGUUGAUCGCUGUAUUACCUCGGUGUUGGUUUGUUGUUCGUUCAUCCUGAUGUACUUGUCCUAGAGGUCUUCACAGGUACAAAAAAGUUGGACCCGUUUCCGAAAUUUAGCUGGGGCUUUCCCACCCGGACCCGACAUGCAUAAGUUAUUUAUUAUUUCAAAAGAGAGAAAGGUGCCACUCUAGCAGGUCGAGGAGGGGCCGUAAUGUGAACGACAUGGAGAGAGGGGAAAGAGAACCUAGUCAGUUGCACAACCGCAUUCAACUGACAUGUCUUCCACAUUUUAACCCAACCCCUCUGAAUCAGAGAGGUGCGGGGGGCUGCUUUACCGACAUACAUGUCAUCGGCACCUGGGGAGUGGGUGUUGUUGGGGGGGGUUAACUGUCUUGCCCAAGGGCAGAACGGCAUAUUUGUUUACCUUGACAGCUCAGGGAUUCAAACCAGCAAACCUGUUGUUUACUGGCCCAAUGCCUUUAACUGCUAGGUGACACUGGGAGCAGGGAGGGAGAGAAGNNNNNNNNNNCCUACCAAAACAGAAAUGAGUUAUGAGUGAUGAGGUAUGAGUAAUGAGUUAUGAGUAAUGAAGUAUAAGUAAUGAUGCUACAGUGUGGCAUUACAGUAUGUUGGAUAUGGAGACAAAGAGCACAACUACUGAUUCAGAAAACAAGAAAAAUGAUACAAAAAGUAUUAAAAGAAACUAGAAAUCGAGUUACAAUAAAUCAACUUUGGCGGAGUUAGAGGAUACACCCAGCAGUUUUUCUUUACCUUGUUCGUUUAUCAUUUUGCUGCCAAAUCAAACUUCCCAAGUCCCCAGAGGAUUAAAGUACUGGGAUUCGGUCCACAGACAACCCUGCGCAAAACUAUCUAACCAAUCGAUCUAAAUCAACACUCUCUCAACCAAUCAAGUAUCCAUCAAAGAUCUAUUUUAUAAGUAAUAUUUUAUUACAUUGCAUUACAUUGCACUUAGUUGUAUAAUAUAGUAAAUUGUUGUCCCAACCCAUGUCAUUGGAGUUGUAUAAUAUAGUAAAG